rnacentral:lncRNA from 1 species
UUUGAAUAUAAUGGUGUAUUGUUUCGUUGAAAAAAAACCGAAAAUUACAUACAAAUAGAUUUGAGUGUGUUUCCUAUAGCGUGUUAAUACACAAUUAAUUUAUACAGCGAUACUCGAGAUACAAUCCCAAAUGUAAACCACAAAGAUCCUGUUGGCCGUAAUACUUAGAAUCCUCCUGUAUAUCAAGAAUUAGGAAAUAAUACAGAAAGAAAAAAUAAAAGUAAUUCUAUAUAGGUGAUGAUUAAAGCCAACAAAAGAGGAACGUACUAUAUAUUUUGAUGUUUGUAAAGUGUUGUUACAGUUUUUCAAAACAUCUGAUUACUGUACUUGUAAGUUUGUAUAUGAAUAUAUGGUGCUACCUUUAGUUCUUCCUCGGAUAACAGUGGGGUUCAUGAAAAUUACAUGUAGUCUUCUGCGUUUUGUGUUUUUUUUUUCUCUUCGUCUUUUCCGUUAGUAACGGUAGUCUUUUCUUCUUUGACUCGCUUUUCAAACGGUUCAAUGAAUUAACCUUAAGCAUCUAGCUCGUAUUCCAUAAUUGCACUUUUCCAAAACAAUAAUUCUCAAAUUUUUUUUUUCAAGUUCUAUUAAAAUAAGAAUUAAAUUAAGAGAAGCUAUCACUUGAUAUGGUAAAAAAAAAGACCAAAUAUAUACAUUAUGCACAUAAAUUAGUCUGUUUGUUUUCUCGUUUGAAUUGUUUUACUUUGUCAUUUAGUGGCCUUUUAUAGCUGACUAUGCGGUAAAUGUUUGCUUAUUGUUGUAGGCCAUACUGUGACCUAUAAUAGUUGUUCAUGUCUGUGUCAUCUGGUCUCUUGUGAAGAGUUGUUCAUUGGCAAUCAUACCAUUUCUUCUUUUUAUAUCAUACAAUAUACAAUAUACAUUUAUAUUUGAUAAAUAUGCCUAAUAGAUAAAAAGUGACGCAACGCAAAUGUUUUAGAGACAUCAAAUUACAUUUUGUAAAAUCGGUUACCAUAGAAACACAAUUUAACUACAAAGAUGGUUAAAUAUUGAUUGGAAAGGCUUGGCAAUUCUGUAAAAGGUUAACAAGUCUUAUUUAAAUGAAAUGUACGAGAUGAUCUUAUUGAAGAAAGCAAACAACUGACAAAAACUAGGUCUCAUUUGGAUACUAAAGCUGUCGGUUAUAAUAAGGAAGCUAACCGUUCGGAAAGAAAGGAGUGUGUUUGAUGUCAUUGAAAAUGCUAACCAAUCAAUAAGGAAGAACUUUUCUCUGGUAGAAAUAAGUACAAGGUUGACUGUAAUUAAAUUUUAGCCCAACGAUGCCAUUAAAUCAGCAUAAUGUAAGGCUUAAACAACGUAGCAAUACCAUAUAUAAGGAAACAUGAAUAUGAAAAUAAGAAGAUUUGUCAUGAUUGCCAAUGAUACAAUUCACUAUCCACCGGAGACCAUACGACGUAUAAGUUAACAACUAUAGGUCAACGUAUGGCCUUCAACAAUGAGCAACACCGGUACCAUACUGCAUAGUGAGCUAUAAAAUGACCCAAAAAGUUCUAAAACGAAUUCAAACAAGAAAAAAAAGGUUGAAUAAAGUACAAAAUAAAAAAACCAAAAAAAACAAAAAAGAUAUAUUGCAAAAUAAUAACAUGCUCCUGACUUCAGACAUGCACAUACAUAAUGUGUAGCCAUGCGCAUGUUUGCUAGCUCCAUCCUCUCUCCCUUAUCAUGAACAUGGGUUUAUCAGUACAACCUAAGAAAAUUAUAAAAUUAAAACAGUUGAAAAGGGCUUUAACUCAUCAGAUCGGUACGAAGCACAAAGAAAAAAACAACACUAUCCAAAACAUAAAAGACACAAAGUAUCUUUAGAAGACUAUAAAUAUCAAUCAUUACACAUCUAACUUCCAAUGGAUUUAGUUUAUAGACAUCAUUAACAGAGAAAAAAAUGACCUGCUGAAAUGCUAAAAUAUAGGUAUCGACGAUCUGUGGUCACGUCAGUAACCCAAGAUACAGUAAAUAACCAAUGUUUUCAGAUCUAAUGAUUAAUAAUCUUUUGGAUUCACAUUUCACACGUCUUUUACAGUGUCAACGAUGAAUUGUGUUGCUAUUCAAAACAUUGAACUUUAAAGAAACAAUGUCAUUGAUUGCAUGAUUGAUUAUUGGUGAUUAACGCCACUUUCAACAUUCUUGUCUAUAAUAACUUGGCGACCAGUUUGUACUGGUGGCGUAAGCUAGACAACCUGUAAAUGAUUAGAAACACACAAUUUCUUAUUUGGUUCUGUGUUUAAAGAUAAUCUUCAUCGCAUCAUGGCUUUUAUGAGGUUUUAUUUACUAAAAUUUAUAGCUUGAAUGAAAACUUGCAUGUGUUUACCAGCACAAAUUGCUAUACAGUCAUUAAGUAUACAUGUUUCCAGAAGAUGUCAUAAAAGGCUAGCUAUAUAUAAUCAACUCAAAAUCAAAAGUUCAAGUCUGUAAUUCCAGCGACGCGUGGAUAUAAACACGUGACAUCGUAUAAUGAAGAAGCAGAUGACACUAAUGAGCUCCAUCGGAAACCAAAACAUAGCUAGACCUUCAUUAUAAGGCUGGUGCUCGUUAUUUAGCAAACAUAUAAUGUAAACAUAAGAUAUUGAAAAAUAAUGAUUUCCUGAUAAACAGUAAAGACUCCAGGCAAAAUAAUGUAUUGUAUUCAGCUAAAGUACGAAUGCACGUUUAAUAAUAUAUUUAUUAAGUAAAACUGAUUAUAGCAGGCAAAGAUAAAGAUAAGUAAGAAAUCCAUGCAAAAAUAUCCCAUUGGAACUAAAAUGACUGUUUAAUUGUGAUUCUUCAUUUUGAUUUUUUUUACUAUUUUACUGAACAACAACAACAACAACAACAACAACAACAACAACAACAACAACAACAACAACAACAACAACAACAAUAAUAAUAAUGUCAGCUAAAACAUAUCUUUCUUUUUUUAUUAACUUGAUUUCGCGAAAUCUAUAUGACAAUAACUUCUAUUUUUCUACUUCCCUUCACGUAUUCUACAAUUUUUAAAUAAUAUAUCAUGUUUCCUUCAGUACACAUUAGGAGAUAAGAAAAGCUUCCUGCAAUUUCCAACAAGCCAAUCGGAUAUGACUGCUGUGGAUUAUAUUCUGCAUCUUAGAAAAAUAGCAUGACAAGCCUGAAUUACUUCCCACGACUUAUUUAAGUGGAUGUCAUUGACCAACAAGCACUUUCUUAUUAUUUCCAUAAGCACUACUUGCGGUACAGUAGUCGAGCAAAGUUUGUUGUCCUUCAACAUAACAAAGGUGCAGUACGCUCAAUGAUGUAACCGUUGUUGUUUUGUGUUUUUUUACCAAUACUUUCCUUGUUUAGUACAAAUUUAUUAGAAUAUUUGAUACAGUGACAUUGGCUAGUUCAGUACAUUAUUCAAAUAAGUUUGGAAUAAAUUUGAUAAACAAACGGGCUCGGUUCUAACUUACUUAAACAUUAUAUAGGGUUUCUGUUAUAUCUAUGAUGAUAUCUUGCAAGGAUAAAAAGUGUAACAAUUUACAUGAUGAUGAAUGUUUGCCUUAAAUAUUAGAUAGAGCCUUGGGUCCUAUCAUGGUUGCGUUCUCAAUUGCAAAUUGUGACCUGGCUUUAUAGUCAGCUGUGUGAUACUCUUUUAUCGACAUAUGCAUGGUUGAAAUGGACAAAUGAAAUGGGAGAUUUGUGGACAUGAAAUAUAAGUUUCACUUCACCACGUUUUGUGCCAUUAAUAAGUCUAGCUAUCCGGACCAUGUGUUGUUCGUUGUUGUUUGUUUUUGUGUGUAUGUCUGUUUUGUUGGAUGAGAGUGUUGUUGGAGGUUGGAGUGGUUGGUUGUACUGUCUAAUAACCUUUGUUAUCUUUGGGUGUUUUUUGUUUGUUUGCUUGUUAUUGUUUUUUAUUUGUAACUCUUUUGCAAGACUUUCUAAUGUAUAGAAAAUGUGAGGCUCUAAAACUGUUUUCCUUCUACAAAUAGAGAAAUGAAAGAUGCUAUCGAAUCAUGUUAAUAAAAUAAUGGCAAAUUGUUCUGCUCCUGGUAAAUUUUGUAAGUCUUUUGUAUUUUUUUCUGGCUUUUUAGGAGUAUCGAAAGACUUGCCAGUAGAAUAAGAAGAAAAUAAAGAGACAUAUUUGCCUUGAUACAUAAUCAUUGAAUGGGAUCGUUGACAAUUGCAACAUUUGAAAGGACCAGAAAUUAGUGCUUAUCCCGACUUAGUGUUUUGGUAUAAUAACAAACCGUUUGUGAUGCUUGGGAGUUCAAGGAGACAUUUAUUUACAACAAGUCAGUUAGUCCAAACAAUAUCAAAUUAUGAUGCGCAAAAGUACACUCACAAAUAAUAGAAAUUGACAGCAUAUCUGUUACUUAUUUAUUCAGCAGGCUGCAAAACUCUGAGGAAUACUAAAACACAUAUAACGUGGGAAAAUAUGCGAAUGUUUCUUGCUUGCGGUGAUAUAUUUUGGUUAAAUCUAUGGCUCUAGAGAAUUACUUGUGUUGUAAUGUCUUAAUGCAGUAACAGUUAGAUUGUUACAAUUUACGUCACAGCAUGUAAGGAUGGUUCAAAACUACUGACUAUAAUUGAAUACCAUGAUAGAUAAAGACGAAAGAAUAAUGGUGCAUUCGACAUCCAUAAUUUGUUUACGAUUUCUGAUAAAAAAAAAAUGAUACCUUGACUUUUAUAAAAGUAGAG